CUAAAGGGGCCGUAGCUUGAUAAUAGGGUCCCUUGAGAAAUCCGCCGGCUUAACUGGCGGGCGUUCAGGGGAAACUUGUUUUCUAGGGACCGGGAGAGGUGAGGGGUACUGCCGGGGUAGGAGUGAAAUCCUGUAAUCCCGGUGGGACCACCUAUGGCGAAGGCAUCUCACCAGAACGGGUCCGACAGUGAGGGACGAAAGCUGGGGGAGCAAACCGGAUUAGAUACCCGGGUAGUCCCAGCUGUAAACUAUGUGCGUUAGGUGUGUCAGUGACCACGUGUCACUGAGGUGCCGAAGGGAAACCGUGAAACGCACCGCCUGGGGAGUACGGUCGCAAGGCUGAAACUUAAAGGAAUUGGCGGGGGAGCACCACAACGGGUGGAGCCUGCGGUUUAAUCGGACUCAACGCCGGGAAUCUCACCGGAUAAGACAGCUGAAUGAUAGUCGGGAUAAGACUCUACUUGACUAGCUGAGAGGAGGUGCAUGGCCGUCGUCAGUUCGUACUGUGAAGCAUCCUGUUUAGUCAGGCAACGAGCGAGACCCACGCGAGCAGUUGCCAGCUUGACCUUGGGUUGAUGGGGACACUGCUCGGACCGCCUCUGCUAAAGGGGAGGAAGGACUGGGCAACGGUAGGUCAGCAUGCCCCGAAUUAUCCGGGCUACACGCGGGCUACAAUGGACAGGACAAUGAGUUUCGACACCGAGAGGUGAGGAUAAUCUUCUAACCCUGUCCCAAGUUCGGAUUGCGGGUUGUAACUCACCCGCAUGAAGCUGGAAUCCGUAGUAAUCGCGUUUCAACAUACCGCGGUGAAUAUGUCCCUGCUCCUUGCACACACCGCCCG
rnacentral:rRNA from 1 species